UAUGAAGAGACAUCCUGACAGUUACACUGCAGCUCUGUCAGAAUUCACCUUUGUGUUUGUCAUUCCUGCUGUGACUACUAAGGCUAGGCAAUGUUACAGCAAAAUACAGUGAAAUUUGAAUUGAACUGGACCACGCAGCCUUAUGGGAUAUGGCAGCUGUGGUUGAAACCGAGUGAAGAGGCACCGAUAGCAAAUUCGGAGUCAACUACUAGACAGAUACGGUGCUUCUUAGGUACCAAACCAGAGAGGGGCUCAAAAUCAAAGAAGAGGGUUCAACCAGAGAGUUUGCACUUUUCUCAGAAAACUAGUUGAUUUUCAGUGGAUGUCAGCGUAGACAUAAUUUUCUUGACUGGACUGUAUACUGUGUUUACAUUUAAGGUUUUAUAGUUUUAUGGAUUUUUUUUUUUUUUUACAGUUUUGCAUACUAAAAAUGUGAAAUAGAAACUGAUUGUUUGUAUGCGGUUGUCAUUGCGUAAGCUUCUGAUUGAUAAAUUCUUCAUGGUGUUCUAAGUCCAUUGCAAAUACAUUUUUUCAGCAUUAAAAA